ACCAGGGCCACACCGUUAAGACCAGACUCCCAAGCAGUGAGGCAGACACAAGAUUCACAGGAACUUGCAAAAAUAGUACAGAGAGGUGCCGUGUACCCUGCACUGGGUUUCUCCCAGUGGUUCUAUCUUACAUAACUCUAGUACAAUACCAGACCAGGAAACCCACAUUGGCACAGGGUAUGCAUACGGCUCUACGUCAUUUUGUCACAUGUGGAGAUCAUGAAGCCACCACAGCACUCAAGAUCUAGACCUGUUCCAUCCCCGUGAAGAUGUCACACCCACCUCCACCCUCCACCAGCCCUAGCUCCCAGCAGCCACCAGCCUGCUUGCCAUCUCUAUAAUUCUGCCGUGUGUGGAGUGUUAUGCCCAGGAAAUCAUAGAAUAUGUUUUGAGACUGGCUGUUCUCACAAAGGUCUUAUCCUUAUCUUCAGCAUGUAUUGAGAGCCUACUGUGUAUCAGGCACAUAUUUGUCCCUUUCAGGAAUACAGCACAUACAACUCCUUGAUUGCAAAUGACAGAACCCAACUCAGGCUCUGUUAUAAAAGGCAAUGUAUUGGCAUCGAUUACUGAAAAGUCCAGAAGUGGAGCUGGCUUCAGGCCCAGCUGGAUCCAGGGGCUUGUUAGGACUGCUCUUAUUCUCCGUGCUUUGGCUCUGCUCUCCUCUCUGCUGGUUUUCCUCACAGGCGGGCUCUCACCACAUGGCAGCCACCAGUAGCUCUAGCUCAUAGCCUGCUCACUCUCACAGUGAGCAAGGAGCACCCCUUCCUUAGAAAAGUUCCAGCACGCUGGGCGUGGCAGAGUAUGCCUGUAAUCCCCGCACUUUGGGAGGCUGAGGCAGGAGGAUCACUUGAGCCCAGGAGUUUGAGGCUGCAGGGAACUGUGGUUGCACCACUGCACUCCAGCCUGUGCAACAGAGUGAGACCCUGUCUCAAAAAAAAUUUAAAAAAGGGGCUGGGUGUGGCGGCUCACGCUCGUAAUCCCACCACUUUGGGAGGCCGAGGUGGGAGGAUCACGAGGUCGGGAGUUUGAGACCAGCUUGGCCAUCACAGUGGCCCAUCCCCACUAAAAAUACCAAAAUUAGCUGGGCGUGGAGGCGGGCGCCUGUAAUCCCAGCUACUUGGGAGGCUGAGGCAGGGGAAUUAUUUGAACCUGGGAGGUGGAGGUUGCAGUGAGUUGGGAACACGCCACUGCACUCCAGCCUGGGCGACAGAGCUGGACUCCGU
rnacentral:lncRNA from 10 species